AACGAACGCUGGCGGCAUGCCUAACACAUGCAAGUCGAACGAGACCUUCGGGUCUAGUGGCGCACGGGUGCGUAACGCGUGGGAACCUGCCCGUAGGUUCGGAAUAACUCCCCGAAAGGGGUGCUAAUACCGGAUAAUGUCUUCGGACCAAAGAUUUAUCGCCUUUGGAUGGGCCCGCGUUGGAUUAGCUAGUUGGUAGGGUAAAAGCCUACCAAGGCGACGAUGCAUAGGUGGUCGGAGAGGAUGAUCAGCCACACUGGGACUGAGGCACGGCCCAGACUCCUACGGAAGGGAGCAGUGGGGAAUAUUGGACAAUGGGGGAAAGCCUGAUCCAGCAAUGCCGGGUGAGUGAUGAAGGCCUUAGGGUUGUAAAGCUCUUUUACCCGGGAUGAUAAUGACAGUACCGGGAGAAUAAGCUCCGGCUAACUACGUG
rnacentral:rRNA from 1 species